UAACACCUCUGCCAGAGGGCAGCAGCCAGAGGGGGGACCCUGCUGACUACAAGGCCAUCUGCAUUAUCUAUGCCGAAUUGCCCACUUCAAGGAGGAUGGCAUAUCCCUUAAAGGUGAUCCCAGAUGCACCAAGGAUCCAGCUGAUUACUGCCAAUUUGGAGGAUUGUUGUCCGGUGAAUUGUACUUCUAUAGGUUUAACAUUACAUACUGUCUUUAAACAUUACAUCUAAACAAACACUGCAAGCUAAAGUUUGAAAUGAUUUUAUCUGUUUUAGCUGUUUACAGCACUUGCUUCCAAAAUAAAACUUAUUUUACAACCUUGA